GUUAUUAUACAUAGAGCUGGAAGUUGGGAGCAGUGACAGUUGUUUAACAUCCUCUGUUGAGAGACCCUGUCUCUAACUAGUUACAUGAUGCCAAACUUUAAGUAUUGAAGCUGAAUUGUAUGUGGGGGGUCUGCUUUAUACAGCCACUUUUUUUUCUUUUUUUUAAUCUGAAAAAAAAAAUGGCGAAGCUAUUUCUGAGCUGGAGGGCAAGAUAAAAUAGGUUUUUUGACCACGUUAAAAAUAUCUCAGCUGUUUCAUUAAGGAGCUCUAACAUCUCAUAAUUUGGGGCAAGGAAGAUUUUAUCAGGAUGAUGGUUUGGAUCAGAAUGUACUUUUGUCAGAAAAAGUGUGCUUUUGUCAGUGCCUUUUCAGAUGUGCUCAGCUGCAUGCUCCUUGAAGGGAAGUAGGUCCAGUGUGACAGCUGAGACAUGUGAUGCCAAUAAAGAAAUAAAAGGUUGUUAGCAAGGGAUGAAGUAUUAAGGAGCCGGAUGUUGUACAAGCAAAUAACAGUUCUGUAGGGAAGGAGGCGUUGUGGAGGAGGAACCAUUAAGCUGAAAGGAGCGGCCUUUCAGUUGAGAAGGUCAUACCUAUGCGCUGAGAACUGCACCCGGAGCAGCAACCCAAGGGUGGAAGAAGACCCCAACGCUCUGUUGGCUGCCUGCUGUCUGACGAGGGCUCUGAAGCGCUCCCGAAAGAGAUGUGAGAUGUCCUACGGUGCUGCUUCCACGCUGGACCCCUUGGCAGCAUAACCUGCUAGCUGAGCAGUGUUCGGCCACCUUGCUCUGGAAGGAGUUACAAGAGAGUGCGGUAAGGGCUUAACUCCUUAUACUAUGCUCAUAAUACGGUAGAGGCGGGAGGACAUUUGCUUAGAUGACCUUGUGUGGAGUUUCUGGCAGUGCAAGUGAACUUUUUUAUCAUGGGAAAAGCAAAGCUUGGAGGAGACCCGAGCUGUGAGAAAACUUGCAGUGGUAAAUUUUGCUAAUUCUGAUUGUUCCUGUACAACACCCGAGUUGAACACAUCACAGGAUGAAUGUUUUUCUGCUGGUAGGUAGCAUUCACGAUAUUAACGCUUAGCUGAUGUUUAUUUUCAGGCUCUUUAUUUUAAGACA
rnacentral:lncRNA from 1 species